rnacentral:lncRNA from 10 species
UCUGUAUAAAAAUUGUAUUAAAUGCUAAUAUACAAAAUGAAGACCUUAGUAUAGUUACAUAGCAGAUUUCUACACUGAGAAAGCAAAGUUCAGCCUUGUGUCUCCCCAGCAUAAUCUUUAGUAGCCCUUCACAGACUGUAAAGACGGCCUUUCUCUUUUGCUCUGUUGAUACUUCUCUUAUUUGGGUAAAUGAUCUAGGGGAAGAGAAGGAGCAGUUUUAUAGCUAUUGUAGCUCCUGGGUGUUUUGAAUCACUUCCUACUUUUGAUCUGUUACUUCUGUUCACUUCCAGUCUAGAAUUCCCUUAGUAGGUUGGAUAAGUUAAGGGCCUUAUGACAUGGUAAACUGGUUCGUAUGUGUCAAGGUCUGUGUGUACAGUCAUUUUGGGGAAAGAAUUAUGCCGAAGCACAAUAACACAUUUCUUAGCUGGAAUGCUGAGAAGCUAGGGAAUUCUGAUUAACUGGUUAGUCACGAUUCAGCUAGACUCUUUUAGUUUCAUCUCCAUUGUUGAAAAAUUUAUCUAAAAUAUACCAGUCUAUUUUCUUUUCUUUUUCUUUUUCUUUUUCUUUUUUUUUUUUUUUUUGAGACAGGGUCUCACUCUGUUGCUCAGACUGGAGUGCAGCGGCUUCAUCAUGGCUCACUGCAGUCUUGACCUCCCAGGACUCAGGUGAUCCUCCCACCUCAGCCUCCCAUGUAGCAAGGACUGCAGGUGCGCACUUCCAUGCCUAGCCAAUUUUUUAUAUUUUUUGUAGAGACAGGGUUUCACCAUGUUGCCCAGGCUGGUUUCAAACUCCUGAGCUCAAGUGAUCUGCUCAUGUUGGCCUCCCAAAGUGCUGGGAUUAUAGGCGUGAUGAAACUCUUUUUUUAUGUGUUAAAGAUAUUAGCUCUUUCUUAAUGAUGAAGGCUUUUGCAGAGUUUUAUUUAUUAUGUUUUUUUUUUUGAGACAGAGUCUCCCUUUGUUGCCCAAGCUGGAGUGCAGUGGGGCGAUCUUGGCUCACUGCAACCUCUGCCUCCUGGGUUCAAGCGAUUCUCUUGCCUCAGCCUCCCGAGUAACUGAGAUUACAGGUGGGUGCCACCACGCCCAGCUAAUUUUUUGUAUUUUUAGUAGAGAGGGGGUUUUGUCAUGUUGGCCAGGCUGGUCUUGAACUCCUGACCUCAAGUGAUCCGCCCGCCUUGGCCUCCCAAAGUGCUGGGAUUAUAGGCGUGAGCCACCGCACCCUGCCUUGCAGGGUUUUAGUCGUGAUUUUUUUUUUUUUUUUCUGGUUGUUGUCUUUUUUUUAGCGACACGGUCUUGCUCUUUUGCCUAGCUUGGAGUGCAGUGGCAUGAUCAUAGCUCACUGUAACCUUGAACUCCUGGGCUGAAGCAGUCCUCUCACCUCAGCCUCCCAAGUAGUUAGGACUACAGGUGUGUGCCACUGCUCCUGGCUAAUUAAAAAAUAUAUAUAUAUUUUGUAGAAAGGUGGUCUUACUAUGUUGCCCAGGCUGGUCUUGAACUCCUGGGGUCAAGUGAUCCUCUGCCUUGGCUUUUCAAAGCGCUGAGAUUACAAACGUGAGCCACUGCACCUAGCCCUUUAAAAAAAAAAAUGUUGUUACUAGAUAGAAUUAUAAUUCUAGGUGUCAUGUUACCGUCAGGCUUUUCCCUAAUACAGAGAUUUUUGGGGGCACUGAGGGUGAAGGGAAUUGUUUUUGUUUUAUAAGCCUAAUAAAUGGUAGGCUUUUGGCUAUUUUUGUGCGUGAAUGUAUAUACACACACCAAAAGAAGC